UACGGAGGGUGCAAACGUUAUCCGGAUUCACUGGGUUUAAAGGGUGCGUAGGUGGGUUGGUAAGUCAGUGGUGAAAUCUCCAGGCUUAACUUGGAAACUGCCAUUGAUACUAUCAAUCUUGAAUACCGUGGAGGUCAGCGGAAUAUGUCAUGUAGCGGUGAAAUGCUUAGAUAUGACAUAGAACACCAAUUGCGAAGGCAGCUGGCUACACGAAUAUUGACACUGAUGCACGAAAGCGUGGGGAUCAAACAGG
rnacentral:rRNA from 1 species